GUGCUUGCUUCAGCAGCACAUAUACUAAAAUUGGGAUGAUACAGAGAUUAGCAUGGCCCCUGCACAAGUAUGACAUGGAAAUUCAUGAAGCAUUCCAUAUUAAA
ensembl:snRNA U6 U6 spliceosomal RNA